GGGCAACCAUCGCCGAGUCCCCGUACGGCGCAAGCCAGGGGAGCCGGGGAACCAACCUCGCCCGUCGCCGCCCGCGGCGCCGGACGGGUGAUCCCCAGGGGUGAAUCGGACGCCUUCCCGCCAGGGGGAGGGGCCCGUAGGAGACCUUCCUGCUCCGAACCCGUCAGCUAACCCGGUAGGCGAGAGGAAGGAAAGGA
rnacentral:sRNA from 2 species